rnacentral:rRNA from 1 species
AUUGAACGCUGGCGGCAGGCCUAACACAUGCAAGUCGAGCGGGGUUUUCGGACCUAGCGGCGGACGGGUGAGUAAUGCGUAGGAAGCUGCCCGAUAGAGGGGGAUACCAGUUGGAAACGACUGUUAAUACCGCAUAAUGUCUACGGACCAAAGUGUGGGACCUUCGGGCCACAUGCUAUCGGAUGCGCCUACGUGGGAUUAGCUAGUUGGUGAGGUAAUGGCUCACCAAGGCGACGAUCCCUAGCUGGUUUGAGAGGAUGAUCAGCCACACUGGAACUGAGACACGGUCCAGACUCCUACGGGAGGCAGCAGUGGGGAAUAUUGGACAAUGGGCGCAAGCCUGAUCCAGCCAUGCCGCGUGUGUGAAGAAGGCCUUCGGGUUGUAAAGCACUUUCAGCGAGGAGGAAGGGUGGUGUGUUAAUAGCACAUCAUUUUGACGUUACUCGCAGAAGAAGCACCGGCUAACUCUGUGCCAGCAGCCGCCGCGGUA